rnacentral:rRNA from 1 species
AGUUCGGAUUGUAGUCUGCAACCCGACUACAUGAAGCUGGAAUCGCUAGUAAUCGCGGAUCAGAAUGCCGCGGUGAAUACGUUCCCGGGUCUUGUACACACCGCCCGUCACACCAUGGGAGUCGGAAAUGCCCGAAGUCUGUGACCUAACCGAGAGGGAGGAGCAGCCGAAGGCAGGUCUGAUGACUGGGGUGAAGUCGUAACAAGGUAAC